UAUAUUCUUUAACAAUAACGGUUUACUAUUCUCAGGAAUUAGUCAUUCAAAAGACGGUGAGGAAAAGAAUGGUCGACAAACCUUGUGUGGUGCCUUAACAGUCCAUCAGACUAAGGGAUAGAUAAAGGUAGAUCUUGAUUACACUGCCUGGUUUUGUGGUUUGCACGAGACGGUUGACACAAUGAUCUGAAGUUCAAACUGCCAUUUUCUACUGUCCGCUGCAAGAUCUUGGCUGGAAUGUAAAAGGAAUGUCCAAAAUAUUUAAAUGACAAACAGGAUGGGAACUGAUAAUGAGGAAUAUGCUGAAACAGACAUCUGGCAUAUUCCUAUAAUCAGUAUCAUGGCCUUUGUAUACAACAAAAUUGAUUGGAACUCCUAGACUAGAAAUAUAAUUCAAGAUUUAAAUAAGGCACUGGUCAUAGUUUUAGAAAGUGUGGCUAGCAUUCUGAAGGAAGACAGAGAGAUGGAAAGACAUCAAAGAAUGGGCAGGUCUGCCAAGAAAUGGUUUAUCCAGGGCUAAGUACAGAGAGGAAUAUAGAAGGGCUGUUGACAGAUCUUGUGUGGUGCCCCCAUGGUUCAACAGACUAAUUGAUUGAAAAUAAUACCAGGGUUAUGCUCCUUUGACCAUUGAGUUCCAGGAUGAAGAAUGAAAGACAGAGAGCAAUGUGAAGACAUGAAAGAAUGGGCAGGUCUGCCAUGAAAUGGUUUAUCCAGGGCUAAGUACAGAGAGGAAUAUAGAAGGGCUGUUGACAGAUCUUGUGUGGUGCCCCCAUGGUUCAACAGACUGAUUGAUAGGUAAUGGUA